rnacentral:rRNA from 1 species
AACGAACGCUGGCGGCAGGCCUAACACAUGCAAGUCGAGCGAGACCUUCGGGUCUAGCGGCGGACGGGUGAGUAACGCGUGGGAACGUGCCCUUUUCUGCGGAAUAGCCUCGGGAAACUGAGCGUAAUACCGCAUACGCCCUUUGGGGGAAAGAUUUAUCGGAAAAGGAUCGGCCCGCGUUGGAUUAGGUAGUUGGUGGGGUAAUGGCCUACCAAGCCUACGAUCCAUAGCUGGUUUGAGAGGAUGAUCAGCCACACUGGGACUGAGACACGGCCCAGACUCCUACGGGAGGCAGCAGUGGGGAAUCUUAGACAAUGGGGGCAACCCUGAUCUAUCCAUGCCGCGUGAGUGAUGAAGGCCUUAGGGUUGUAAAGCUCUUUCAGCUGGGAAGAUAAUGACGGUACCAGCAGAAGAAGCCCCGGCUAACUCCGUG